rnacentral:rRNA from 1 species
CGGCGAACGGGUGAGUAAUACCUAGGAAUCUGCCUAUUAGGUGGGGGAUAAACGAUACGUAAAGGUUCGCUAAUACCGCAUACGUCCGUACGGGAAGAAGGGGGGGAUCUUCGGACCUCUCGCUAAUAGAUGAGCCUAGGCCGGAUUAGCUAGUUGGUAGGGUAAAGGCCUACCAAGGCGACGAUCUGUAGCUGGUCUGAGAGGAUGGCCAGCCACACUGGAACUGAGACACGGUCCAGACUCCUACGGGAGGCAGCAGUGGGGAAUAUUGGACAAUGGGGGCAACCCUGAUCCAGCCAUGCCGCGUGUGUGAAGAAGGCCUUCGGGUUGUAAAGCACUUUAAGCGAGGAGGAAGGUUUUUAGUUUAAUACACUAAAGAAUUGACGUUACUCGCAGAAUAAGCACCGGCUAACUCUGUG